rnacentral:rRNA from 1 species
UACGGGGGGGGCAAGCGUUGUUCGGAAUUACUGGGCGUAAAGGGCUCGUAGGUGGCCAACUAAGUCAGACGUGAAAUCCCUCGGCUUAACCGGGGAACUGCGUCUGAUACUGGAUGGCUUGAGUUCGGGAGAGGGAUGCGGAAUUCCAGGUGUAGCGGUGAAAUGCGUAGAUAUCGGAAGGAACACCUGUGGCGAAAGCGGCUCACUGGACCAUUACUGACGCUGAUGCACGAAAGCUAGGGGAGCAAACAGG